rnacentral:rRNA from 1 species
ACUAGGAUUAGAUACCCUAUUAUAAGACGAUGGAAAGAACACAUUCAGAGUACACUAGGGAAAAGGAUUCUACUGGCGGUCUUCAACCCAUCUAGAGACUUGUGCCUGUAAACGAAGCUGCGCGACCAAUCGUCCCUUGUCUUGAAUAAUUCACUCUACCCACCUCUGUCUGAAGAGGUCUAUGUUUUAAAUGGGCACUCUCUUCCUGUCAUAAGGCGACAAGGCAAGUAACCGUGUAGGUUAUGACAGGGAAAGAGUGCAAGUCAAUUUUUUUAAUUUAUGGAGGUUUGAAAUCCCUCUAUUAGAGAGAAUUUAGUAGUAAGAUAGGUUUAUCAUACUUAUCUGAAUAGCGCUCUUGAGACGUACACAUCGCCCGUCG